AGAGCGAACGCUGGCGGCAGGCUUAACACAUGCAAGUCGAGCGGGCGUAGCAAUACGUCAGCGGCAGACGGGUGAGUAACGCGUGGGAACAUACCUUUUGGUUCGGAACAACACAGGGAAACUUGUGCUAAUACCGGAUAAGCCCUUACGGGGAAAGAUUUAUCGCCGAAAGAUUGGCCCGCGUCUGAUUAGCUAGUUGGUGAGGUAACGGCUCACCAAGGCGACGAUCAGUAGCUGGUCUGAGAGGAUGAUCAGCCACAUUGGGACUGAGACACGGCCCAAACUCCUACGGGAGGCAGCAGUGGGAAUCUUGCGCAAUGGGCGAAAGCCUGACGCAGCAACGCCGCGUGGAGGACGAAUGCUUUCUGAGUUGUAAACUCCUUUCAGCAGGGACGAUUGUGACGGUACCUGCAGAAGAGCACCGGCCAACUACGCGCCAGCAGCCGC
rnacentral:rRNA from 1 species